ensembl:lncRNA
GAGAGGACAUGGUUGUUAUGUAUGAAGUAUAGAGAGGACAUGGUUGUUUGGGUAUGAAGUAUAGAGAGGACAUGGUUGUUUGGGUAUGAAGUAUAGAGAGGACAUGGUUGUUUGGGUAUGAAGUAUAGAGAGGACAUGGUUGUUUGGGUAUGAAGUAUAGAGAGGACAUGGUUGUUAUGUAUGAAGUAUAGAGAGGACAUGGUUGUUUAUGUAUGAAGUAUAGAGAGGACAUGGUUGUUAUGUAUGAAGUAUAGAGAGGACAUGGUUGUUAUGUAUGAAGUAUAGAGAGGACAUGGUUGUUUGGGUAUGAAGUAUAGAGAGGACAUGGUUGUUAUGUAUGAAGUAUAGAGAGGACAUGGUUGUUUAUGUAUGAAGUAUAGAGAGGACAUGGUUGUUAUGUAUGAAGUAUAGAGAGGACAUGGUUGUUUGGGUAUGAAGUAUAGAGAGGACAUGGUUGUUUGGGUAUGUUAUGGUUUCCACUACACUCUUAGAAAAAAAGCUGAUAUCUAGAUCCUAAAAGGGAUCUUCAGCUGUCCCCAUAGGAGAACCCUUUGAAUAACUAUUUUGUUUCCAGGUAGAACACUUUUUGGUUUCACAGAGGGUUCUACAUGGAACCCAAAAUGGUUCUCCUUUGGGGACAGCCGAAGAACCCUUUUGGAACCCUUUUUUCUAAGACUGUAGAUAGCACAGCCACAAAGUCAAAAUCAUGAAAACAAAUGUUUAUUUUUUCUUAAUUUAAAGUUGGGGAUAAGGUUAGCAGUGGGGUUAACAUUAGGGAUAAGGUUAGCAGUGGGGUUAAAGUUAGGGAUAAGGUUAGCAGUGUGGUUAAAAUUAGGGAUAAGGUUAGCAGUGGGGUUAACAUUAGGGAUAAGGUUAGCAGUGUGGUUAAAGUUAGGGAUAAGGUUAGCAGUGGGGUUAACAUUAGGGAUAAGGUUAGCAGUGUGGUUAAAGUUAGGGAUAAGGUUAGCAGUGUGGUUAACAUUAGGGAUAAGGUUAGCAGUGGGGUUAACAUUAGGGAUAAGGUUAGCAGUGGGGUUAACAUUAGGGAUAAGGUUAGCAGUGUGGUUAAAGUUAGGGAUAAGGUUAGCAGUGUGGUUAAAGUUAGGGAUAAGGUUAGCAGUGUGGUUAAAGUUAGGGAUAAGGUUAGCAGUGUGGUUAACAUUAGGGAUAAGGUUAGCA